UGCUGCUCAGAUCUUAUAUUAAAUGUACACUAACUUUUUAAAGAAGUUUACAAAUGUUUAAGCAACGAUACAAGUACUAAACUUGGGAGUUGAAAUAAAUAUCUUUAUCAAUGAAUUCAACAUACCAAUAUCUAUUUAAUUUAAUAUACAACUCGUCUAAACAUCAACCCAACAAUGCUUUUUCAAAUUUUUUGUUCAUCUCUCGCCGGGAUUCGAACCCAUGCUACUGAGAUAUCGUGAAACCGAAUCGCCUGCACUGUAU
rnacentral:lncRNA from 1 species